UACUUGGUACCGGUUAUGAACAUAUUGUUAGAACAAGGUGUUGCUGGUGCGUCCCCGCCAUGGUUCAAAAGCCAGAAGUUGUAACUGUCGCACUCACUCGUGAAUUUUCGAUUCGAAUUCACCGCGGGUCGUGUAAAUUCUCCUACAAUUCGGUUUUAAAAUCUGUCAUUAUAUAUGAAGGAACUGUCACGAGCCAUCAGCGGUCAAAUCUUCAAGCUGGGUGAAAUACUCGUGUCGCGACCGCGGGGAGACUCGAGGAUUUUUCUCGACCUUGGAGUAUUUUACUUCUCGACGGCCAGGUUUUUAAUUUUGGACGAAGCUGAUCGAAUGCUUUAUGGGUUUCGGUCCCGAUAUUGAAAAAAUUGUCAACCAUCCAACGAUGCCUCCGAAAGGAAUCCGUCGUGUUUGUAUGUUUACGGUUUAACUGGCGCCCAAGUCGGAAAAUUGCCUUGUCUGGAAAUUUGGCAAAGUGUGACGGCUUUUGGCAGAACUAUGAUUGAGAAAACAAGAGAGGAUGUGGAGUCUAAAUUUUGCGGCGAGAAUGGCUAUGCCCAUGACGCCAAAGUAACCUAUGGUAACAGAUUCUGUAAUGGUGAAAUUCGGUGUACCCACGGUGGCCGAAGCCAUGGAAUUAGGCCGAGAAGCUGCCGCAUUUAUGUCGGCAAAAUUUGUCAAACCCAUUAAUUUGGAAUUGGGAAAAGUCGAUUACCCCUAUUUAUUGAUCAACAAAAAGAGGUAUGCACGAUUGUAUUGGACCAAACCUGAAAAGUUUGACAAAUGGAUUGUAAAGAUAUAGAACCCGUUCGUCGUGAUAAUUGCCAACUCGUUGCCAAUCUUAUCAAUAACUGUCUGCAGAAAAUUUUGAUGGAGCGAGACCCGGAUGGAGCCUUAGAAUACGCCAAACAAACAAUUUCCGACUUGCUGUGCAACAAAGUCGAUAUCUCACUUCUGGUGAUUACCAAGGAGCUGAUUAAAACAGAUAAAGACUACGCCAGCAAACAAGCACAUGUGGAACUAGCUCACAAGAUGCGUAAGCGAGAUGCUGGUACAACCCCAAAAUUAGGGGAUCGAGUUCCGUAUAUCAUUAUCGCAGCUGCUAAAAACGAACCUCAAGGCGGAAGACGCGAUUUUAGUCCUGGAACACAGCGUACCUAUUGAUGCCCAAUACUAUUUGGAAAAUCAGCUUUCAAAACCCUUUGUUUGGAUUUUUGAACCCAUACUUGGAUCUAAAGCGGAAUCAUUGUUGCUACAUGGUUACCAUACCCGGACGCCUUCAGUUGUUACUUCAAAAAUUGGUGGAUUGGCUAGCUUUACCACAUGCAAAUCCACCUGUGUUGGAUGCAAAACCGUCCCUCCAGACGAUAGUGCUGUAUGCAAAUUUUGCAAGCCGAACGAAUCGGAGUUCUACCAGAGGGAAAUUGGCCAACUUUAUGCUCUCGAAGAGAAGUUUAAUCGUUUAUGGACAGAAUGUCAACGGUGCCAGGGAAAUCUCAACGAAAUGAUUCUUUGUUCCAACCGAGAUUGCCCCAUCUUUUACAUGAGGACAAAAGUUAGAAAAAAUCUCACGGAACAGGAUAAACUUAUGAAAAUAUUCGGCCUACCCUGACAACCUACCGCUCUCGUCAAUGAUGGUGCAUACAGGUAAUGGUUUGGCUUCUGUAAAAUAGAUUGAAAACCAUAAAUUACGCAUGAACGAUGUGGUCUGGCGAAUACCUUGCCAAGGUGACCAUGCAUUACUUUCGAGUGUAUUUAAGGUAUACCAUUUACUUGCUUUGUAAAAGCUAAGUUUUUAACUUGUGCAUCAUAACGAUUUUGAAUUGGGUAAGUUGCAAGUCGGUAGAUUUGUUCCGCAGUUUCCCGGAUACCAGCAUCCUGCUUCGCGAGAACUACUCUACGUUGUUCGGGGGGGGGUGGGGGCUUAGACGAACAUCUGAAUCCGAUAUUGAAGAAGUCUUGCAUCGAUGGACACUGACAAAAUAUAGGCAGAUUCGUAAUUAUAAAGAAUUGGGAAAGAAAGUUGACGGAGGCUCAGUGCCAAAAAAAUUAUGGUAGUUGGAAUGAUGACCAACCAACAAACAAUUCAACCAACAAAAAGGUAC